UUUCCGCUGACGUCACUGCGUAUGUCCAUAACAGGGCUGCAGCUGUCUGAGAGCAACAAUAACAAGCUCUACCCAACAACUUUAACGCGGCUUUAACGGUACCUGACAGCGGCGAAUACCACCGAAUUUCACAAAAUGCGGCUGUCGGAAUAACACUCGUUCGUCGUCCGAGUUGAAAACCGGGUUGUCGUCGCUGCCACCGCCGCGAAACACACACGGAGAGUCGGCCGCAGGGGGAACAGGGCAGUUCGGGGCUGCAUCUGGGUCAGUGGGCCUGUCGGCGGCUGUAACGGUGGUUGUUAUCCCCGCAGUGUCCCGUUGCGUCUGUCAUUCGUUUCUGUAUACACCGUGUCUGCUGUAUAAACCGGAAUAACAUGCAGGCUAACGGGGCAGGACAGGACCGAGAUUCCGAACUGUCCUGCCGAAACGGUGCGCCGAACGGUGAGUCGUCCUCCGCCGGGUUAGCUCACUCCAACGGACUAUCAGUCACCAACAAUGGAACCACUGUCAGCAACAACAACGGAGUGUCAGCCCAGCCCGCGGCCAACAACAGCAACAGCACGGCGGAGGCUAACUCGGCCGUCAAGAAGAAGAAGCGUCUGUCUCAGUCCGAGGAGGACAUCAUCAGGCUGAUAGGACAACAUCUACACGACCUGGGUCUCAAUCAGACAGUGGACCUCCUGAUGCAGGAGUCUGGCUGCAGACUGGAGCACCCCUCUGCCACCAAGUUCCGCAAUCAUGUCAUGGAAGGAGAGUGGGACAAGGCUGAGAGUGAUCUGAAUGAGCUGAAGGCACUGAUGCAUUCUCCGAGCGCUAUAGUGAGGAUGAAGUUCCUGCUGCUGCAGCAGAAGUAUCUGGAGUAUUUGGAAGAUGGGAAGGUCCUGGAGGCCCUUCAGGUCCUCAGAGCCGAGCUCACUCCUCUCAAGUACAACACAGAGCGUAUCCACAUCCUGAGCGGGUACCUGAUGUGCAGUCAUGCAGAGGACCUCCGAGCCAAAGCAGAGUGGGAAGGGAAAGGCACAGCAUCCCGAACAAAGCUGCUGGACAAGCUACAGACUUAUCUGCCUCCGUCAGUGAUGCUGCCUCCUCGCCGCCUGCAGACUCUGCUGAAGCAGGCGGUGGAGCUGCAGAGGGAGCGCUGCCUCUACCACAACACCAAAUUGGACAGUGGACUGGACUCUGUGUCCCUGCUGCUGGACCACGCUUGCAGCCGGAAACAGUUCCCUUGCUACACUCAGCAGAUUCUCACUGAACACUGCAAUGAAGUCUGGUUCUGCAAAUUCUCCAACGAUGGCACAAAACUGGCAACUGGGUCCAAAGACACCACUGUCAUUGUGUGGCACGUCGACACGGAAACCCAGCAGUUAAAGUUGAUGAAGACUCUGGAGGGCCAUGCUUAUGGUGUUUCCUACCUGGCAUGGAGCCCUGAUGAUGUCUAUCUAAUAGCCUGUGGUCCUGAUGACUGCUCUGAGCUGUGGCUGUGGAACGUACAGACGGGGGAGUUGCGUACCAAGAUGAGUCAGUCUCAUGAGGAUAGCCUGACCAGCGUAGCCUGGAAUCCAGAUGGCAAACGCUUUGUCACUGGUGGACAGAGAGGCCAGUUCUACCAGUGUGACUUGGAUGGAAACCUGCUGGACUCAUGGGAAGGAGUUCGGGUCCAGUGCCUGUGGUGUCUGAGUGACGGCCGGACCGUCCUCGCAUCAGACACCCACCAACGCAUCCGUGGAUACAACUUUGAGGACCUGACGGACAGAAACAUAGUGCAGGAGGACCACCCCAUCAUGUCUUUUACUGUUUCCAAGAAUGGAAGGUUAGCUCUGCUCAAUGUUGCUACUCAGGGAGUGCACCUAUGGGACCUGCAGGACCGGGUGUUGGUGAGGAAGUACCAAGGGGUGACGCAGGGCUUCUACACCAUCCACUCCUGCUUUGGAGGCCACAAUGAAGACUUCAUCGCUAGUGGCAGUGAAGACCACAAAGUUUACAUCUGGCACCGGCGCAGUGAGCUGCCCAUUGCAGAGCUGACCGGACACACCCGCACAGUCAACUGUGUGAGCUGGAACCCCGUCCUACCCGGACUGCUGGCCAGCGCCUCUGACGACGGUACCGUCCGAAUUUGGGGACCCGCCCCCUUUCUGGAUGUCCAGGAUGCAGAAGGGCUCAAUGCCACUGUUUUCAUCAGACUCCUCAACAGUUUACAUAUAAGUAGGGUAAGAAUCCACAGUUUCCUCUUACAUUUAAAAAUAAUUAACAGCAGGGACAUUUCAAGUUACAGGUUCAUUAAAUGAUCAAUGCACUGCAUUUUUCUACCUUAAUGGACAAAGUGCUUUACAAUUUGCCUCUCAUUCAUCUUUUUACACAAGCAGGUGGUGCCUAGACAUUUAACCACCAACCCUGAAAUUUAGUGGAUGACCUGUUCUAUCUCCUCAGCCACAUUUAUUAGAGGAUUUAAGUAUAUAUUAAUAAACUAUAAUAUACAGUAUAUUUGAGAGCAGUCAAUCACAAGACACAGAAUAAAAACAGUAAAAACAUAUCAAAGGAAUGCAAUUCUAAGACAAUGAGCUAGUCUCCUCUAGUGAGUCCAUGGGCCCUGACUCCAAAGGCCCAGAAUCCUCUGGUUUUUAGCCUCCACCUUGACACUACUAACAGAUCACUUCUGGACGAUCUAGGUUGCGUUGAAUCAGAUAGGAAUACAGCAAGUUCUUUAAUCUAGCUGAGACCUAAUUUCCAUGUUAUUUGCAGAUUUAAAGGACUCCCCUGAUCCAGCCCUAACUAUAAGCUUUAUCAAAGAGGAAUUUCUUUAGCCUUCUCUUGAAUGUGGACAGGGUGUCUGCCUCCCGAACCACAACUGGAAGCUGGUUCCACAGGAGAGGAGCUUGGUAACUGAAGGCUCUGGCUCCUGUUCUACUUUUAGAGACUAUAGGAACCACAAGUAGCCCAGCAUUCAGAGAACGCAGUGUUCUAGUGGGGUAUUAGGGUACUAUGAGCUCUUUAAGAUAUGAAGGGGCCUGAUCAUGAAGAGCUUUGUAAGUGAGGAGGAGGAUUUAAAUUCUAUUCUGAAUUUUACAGGGAGCCAGUGCAGAGAAGCUAGUACAGGAGAGAUAUGAUCUCUUUUCCUAGUUCAGACAUCCAGGUUUUUAUGUCCUUAAGACAUGCUUGUAAUUUAGAUAAUUGAUUAAUUUCAUCGGGCUUGAUUGAUAUAUAACUGGGUAUCAUCUACAUAACAGUGAAAGUUAAUGGAGUGAUUCCUAAUAAUGUUGCCUAAGGGAAGCAUAUAUAAGGUAAACAGAAUUGUGUUGUGUUGCGUCUGUCUGUGUCUCUCUCUCUCUAUUACCCCAACUGAUCGAGGCAGAAGACCACCCACCUAGAGCCCAAGGGUCUGUCCUAGGUUUCAGCCUUUUAACAGGCAGUUUUUCCUUGCCCCCGUCGCCAAGUGCUUGCUCAUGGUGGUACUGUUGGGUCUCUGUAAAUAAUGUGUUCGGUCUAGACCUGCUCUAUUUGAAAAGUGUCCUGAGAUAACUUCUGUUAUGAAUUGGCGCUAUACAAAUAAAAUUGAAUUGAAUUGAAUUGAAUUACAAUUGAUCUAAGCAUAGAACCUUGUGGAACUCCAUGACUAACUUUAGUGUUUAUGGAGGAUUUAUCCUUAACAUGUAUAAACGUAUCGUAUCCACCUCCAUCAAAAUUUUAAAUAGAUCUGUACCCUGAGGCCUGGGAAGUGUGCAAUAACUUGGUGUUCUGUUUGUUUUGUUUUUUAUUUGCUUUGUUCUUUCAUUGGAUGUGUCAUGAGUGUGUAUGUAGCCUACGUGUACGUCUUUAGCUGUUAUAUGUAUUUUAUGUGUAUUUAUUGUCUGUAAGGGCAGCGACUACUAUGCACUAUGCACUUUGAGUCCAUGACUAAUUUCCCCUAGGGGACAAUAAAGUAUAUUCUAAUUCUAAACGAUCUGAUAAUGAAUGCACAGAUAAUCUUGACAGCUAUCUGCUCCCUCCUGUGGAAAACCUCCAGCUGAACAUGACUGAGUGUGUAAUGUUGCAGCAUGGACAGCUGAUGAUCUGCUGUUGUAGACCUGAGGAGCAUUAAGACUCUGUAGACACUUGAAUGGAUGAAGCGGGGAAAGCUUUGUUGAUUGGACAGCUGCUUCCUGGAGGCAGGGCCAGCAGUGCCAUGUCACAACAUAAGAGAUGUCAGUCACAUUAUUGAGAUCUGAGUCGGCCGGAUGCAGCCGGGGUCCACGACCUGCGGUGUCUGAGCCUCCUCCUCCUUGCCUGGAUCCGUUCCCUCAGCACUAUCCAGGACCAGCCACUUCCUCUUAUUUAUUACCAACUACAUUAUUUAUUCAUGAGUAGUUCACUGACUUGUGCUAGGCUGUGACGUACCAGCGUCUGUGGAGGGUGUGUGUUCUUAGUUUUCUUUACGCGAAGAAGCUUUUUUUCCUCUUUCACUCCCUGAACCUUUGAACAGAUUUUACCUGCAAGAAAACAUUGGAUGGAUGUAACACCCCCUUGAACAGUAUCUUUUAAAUGCAAAUUCUACGUUAUCUUUUUUUUACACAGAAUACAUUUUUUCCCUUCAGCUUUCCUGCUUAUAGCCAGAGAAAGAUUAGUGUUUUAUGAGCAUGUUGCAUAGGAUUGCACAGGACAAUGUAUUUGGUGGCUAACACGCACUAUGUCCUGCUAUAUCUAUUAAAGUAAGUAAAAUGCUUGGCUGCCUUAGAGAGUAUACAGCAGCUGGUAUGUGGAACCCUAUAGAGUUCAAAGGAUUAUCCGUCAACCCUUACCUCUGAAACGUGGAUUAUCUGAGUGUAGUUUCCAUCAUGCCGUCAGUGCAGAUUUCCUCUUUAUUUUUGCAUCUUUGCUCUGCUUUCACUUUUUGCUGUUUGUUUCCCUUGCAGCCUGUUGCCACCUGUCUGCGUACCAACAGCAGCCUCCAUAUGGUUAUCUUUUGGUUUGGGUUAGUUGUUACAUGUUCUAAGUUUUAUUUUUCACUGUGUUAAUUUUUUAUUUCCUACAAGUGGAGCUUAACAUUUAAUGAGAGACGUCCAGCUCAACUGUGAACUGUUUUAAAAGAUAAGGCUGGUGUUAUUCUCUAUGUUUCAUAUUGUCAACAAAUCCCAUGAAAAGACCAGAACCGGUGUGUUUUUUUAAUACUUUUUGACUUGCUCCAAGCCCAUCAGUUCCUACUGAGGACAUAAAUCAGCUCACAGAUGUAUCAUUUCUUUUUAAAAUGGUUCAGUAAUUUCCUGAAACUGCUGCCGACGGUAGGUCUUAACAAACGUAACUGAAACAGGAGGAAAUAGCGCAUUUGUUAGGGACUAUUUUCAGCGGCAGAUUCAUCCACAGCAGCAGGACGGUGUAUGUGGAAUUGAGUCAAAAUAUACUAGUGUGUGUGUGUGUGUGUGUUCAUGGUAAUGAAUGAACAUUGUGUCUCAAUGUGUUUUUAACCCAAUAAUGAUUUACAACUGUAUUUACUACGUUAAGGAAAAGAACCACAGAAUUCUUUCUGGUUGAGGUAGGAACACAAAAAAUUUGUUGGGUCAAAAUCAAUAUUUUAGAUUUUAAACAUGUACCAUGCCUUAAUUGGUAGACAAAGUUGAUAUUUCAUAAGUUUAACAUUAAUUUAACAUGUUCAAUAUGUUAAAUAAUAUUUACAUUUGAUAAAACUCCUUCUGUAUCGUACUAUAUCUAGUCAUUAGUCACUAGGGGUUACUCAUUUUCAGUGUUGGGCUCCUUACUCAAAACAUUUUAUUUAUUACUUAUUACUCUUUUCAAAAGUAAUAUAACUGUACUUGGGAAUUGUAUCCUUUCUCCCAAAAAUUAACUUAACUUAAAAUACAGUUUUUCGUUUCCUUGUGUUUAAAUCUACCAAGCUUGUGUCGCUUCAUGAUUGGAUUGGUCGGAUUUCAAAUCAAUAGGAGGGUUCCAACAAAAUGAAGGUUAUAUCUAAUUAUGUUUUGGGGGGGUAACUGUAAUAUAAUUACUGAUAUCUAUUAGUAAUUAACCUACUAGUUACUGGUUAAUGUAAUUAUUACUAGUAAUGCCUUACUGCCCAACACUGCUUAUUUUACCCCAUCGGAAAACAAAACAAAAAUGUCUUUUAGGUCUGCACAGUGGACUGGACCAAGAUUAAACAACGGGUUAUUAGUUUUCUUUUUGAAUCUAUAUUCUAACAGUCCACUAUGUGUGUGUUUUAAGCGUUAAGAGCCUCAUACUUUAACUGAUUUGAAGUUUAUAGACAAAUAAUCUACAUCUGGCUUUGAUACAUGCACAGUACUUGUUAGCAUAUACAUUCAUUGUUUUUUGGUCAGUACAUGAGAUUUGUUCAUUAUUUAAAAAAAAGAAGAAAAAAAAGAUAUAGAGAAUUGCCAGCCUUAUGACACAGGAAACUGAGUAACAGAAUGAUGGAGUGUAUCUUUAACAAUCAGUGGGUAACACAUUUGUACACAAGUGUAACAUAAACUUAUGAACUUCUACAAAGUGUUUCCUUUCAGAGAGUCAAAAGAACAAUCUUGCCUGAUAUGAUGUUCUAUGUAAUGUGCUGUAUAUUUGUAUGUUCUGGCAUGUAUUCUGAGGCUGUGUACAAACGGCAGAUAGGAUGUUUCACAGGGUUCCCACGCCUGUUUUUUACAUGUCAGUCUCAAAAAGCUACUCUCUGACAACUUCAUACCAAAUGACUGCACUACUGUUGUAAUAUAAAGCUGCAAGUUUACACUCACAACUGCUACCACAGGCAAUUGGUUCUGAGAUUUACGAACUGCAAUGCAGCCAAAGUCCCAUUUCAGCCUGCUUCUUUCAAACUGCUUCUACAGAUUCUAUUUAGAACUUUAUUAGAGUUAUUUUUCCAAAAGCAUUCUUGUCCUGGACGAUAGCUGCAGGACUGUCGGGACAGUGGGAACCCUGUUUAUCUGCCCAGACAACAUCACAGCCAUCACCAGCUUCAAACUCUGCCAUCACAGAACACACGCUAGCAAAAUAACGAUAGAUGUCACACACACACACACACACUUGAUUCAGACACAGAUGUGGUGUUCUAGUUUCUGCCUCUGUGAUUUUCUUUAGUUUGUUUCUUCUGUGUAUUUCAGGCUUCUCUUCUUUUCUCUUCUCGCUGUAAGAAGCCAAAGUAGGAACUUUUGUUUGCUUGCAGGCAGUUGCUGCCAGAAACCAUUUUACAUUUUAAAUGUGUUAUUACAAAAAGUGAUUGUACUGUUCUGUAUUGUUCUGUAGGAGAAGUGAUAUGUAUGCAUAUUUUAAAUAAAGCAUUCAGGGUUUUAAAAUGUA